AUUGAACGCUGGCGGCAGGCCUAACACAUGCAAGUCGAACGGUAACAGGGAUCAGCUUGCUGAUUCGCUGACGAGUGGCGGACGGGUGAGUAAUGUCUGGGAAACUGCCUGAUGGAGGGGGAUAACUACUGGAAACGGUAGCUAAUACCGCAUAACGUCGCAAGACCAAAGAGGGGGACCUUCGGGCCCCUUGCCAUCGGAUGUGCCCAGAUGGGAUUAGCUAGUAGGUGGGGUAACGGCUCACCUAGGCGACGAUCCCUAGCUGGUCUGAGAGGAUGACCAGCCACACUGGAACUGAGACACGGUCCAGACUCCUACGGGAGGCAGCAGUGGGGAAUAUUGCACAAUGGGCGCAAGCCUGAUGCAGCCAUGCCGCGUGUAUGAAGAAGGCCUUCGGGUUGUAAAGUACUUUCAGCGGGGAGGAAGGGAGUAAAGUUAAUACCUUUGCUCAUUGACGUUACCCGCAGAAGAAGCACCGGCUAACUCCGUG
rnacentral:rRNA from 1 species